AGUGAACGCUGGCGGUAGGCCUAACACAUGCAAGUCGAACGGCAGCACAGUAAGAGCUUGCUCUUACGGGUGGCGAGUGGCGGACGGGUGAGGAAUACAUCGGAAUCUACUUUUUCGUGGGGGAUAACGUAGGGAAACUUACGCUAAUACCGCAUACGACCUACGGGUGAAAGCAGGGGAUCUUCGGACCUUUCGCGAUUGAAUGAGCCGAUGUCGGAUUAGCUAGUUGGCGGGGUAAAGGCCCACCAAGGCGACGAUCCGUAGCUGGUCUGAGAGGAUGAUCAGCCACACUGGAACUGAGACACGGUCCAGACUCCCACGGGAGGCAGCAGUGGGGAAUAUUGGACAAUGGGCGCAAGCCUGAUCCAGCCAUACCGCGUGGGUGAAGAAGGCCUUCGGGUUGUAAAGCCCUUUUGUUGGGAAAGAAAAGCAGCAGGUUAAUACCCCGCUGUUCUGACGGUACCCAAAGAAUAAGCACCGGCUAACUUCGUG
rnacentral:rRNA from 1 species